rnacentral:rRNA from 1 species
GCGGAGCCUACACAUGCAGUCGAGCGGUAGCACAGGAGAGCUUGCUCUCCGGGUGACGAGCGGCGGACGGGUGAGUAAUGUCUGGGAAACUGCCUGAUGGAGGGGGAUAACUACUGGAAACGGUAGCUAAUACCGCAUAACGUCUACGGACCAAAGUGGGGGACCUUCGGGCCUCACGCCAUCAGAUGUGCCCAGAUGGGAUUAGCUAGUAGGUGGGGUCAUGCCUCACCUAGGCNACNAUCCCUA